AUUGAACGCUGGCGGCAUGCUUUACACAUGCAAGUCGAACGGUAACAGGCCGCAAGGUGCUGACGAGUGGCGAACGGGUGAGUAAUGCAUCGGAACGUGCCCAGUCGUGGGGGAUAACUACUCGAAAGAGUAGCUAAUACCGCAUACGAUCUAUGGAUGAAAGCGGGGGACCGUAAGGCCUCGCGCGAUUGGAGCGGCCGAUGCCAGAUUAGGUAGUUGGUGGGGUAAAGGCUCACCAAGCCAACGAUCUGUAGCUGGUCUGAGAGGACGACCAGCCACACUGGGACUGAGACACGGCCCAGACUCCUACGGGAGGCAGCAGUGGGGAAUUUUGGACAAUGGGCGCAAGCCUGAUCCAGCAAUGCCGCGUGCAGGAAGAAGGCCUUCGGGUUGUAAACUGCUUUUGUACGGAACGAAACGGCUCUGGUUAAUACCCGGGGCUAAUGACGGUACCGUAAGAAUAAGCACCGGCUAACUACGU
rnacentral:rRNA from 1 species